AGUGAACGCUGGCGGUAGGCCUAACACAUGCAAGUCGAACGGCAACGCAGUAAGAGCUUGCUCUUACGGGUGGCGGGUGGCGGACGGGUGAGGAAUACAUCCGAAUCUACUUUUUCGUGGGGGAUAACGUAGGGAAACUUACGCUAAUACCGCAUACGACCUACGGGUGAAAGCAGGGGAUCUUCGGACCUUGCGCGAUUGAAUGAGCCGAUGUCGGAUUAGCUAGUUGGCGGGGUAAAGGCCCACCAAGGCGACGGUCCGUAGCUGGUCUGAGAGGAUGAUCAGCCACACUGGAACUGAGACACGGUCCAGACUCCUACGGGAGGCAGCAGUGGGGAAUAUUGGACAAUGGGCGCAAGCCUGAUCCAGCCAUACCGCGUGGGUGAAGAAGGCCUUCGGGUUGUAAAGCCCUUUUGUUGGGAAAGAAAAGCAUCAGGUUAAUACCCCGCGGUUCUGACGGUACCCAAAGAAUAAGCACCGGCUAACUUCGUG
rnacentral:rRNA from 1 species